rnacentral:rRNA from 1 species
GACGAACGCUGGCGGCGUGCCUAAUACAUGCAAGUCGAACGCAUUUUCUUUCCCCGUCGCUUGCUCCACCGAGAGAAACUGAGUAGCGACCGGGUGAUUAACACGUGUGUAACCUGCCCUUCCGCGGGGGAUAACACUCGGAUACCGGUUCUAAUACCGCAUAAUUCCAUUUGCCGCAUAGUAAAUGGAUGGAUGGCGCUUUUGCGUCGCUGUUGGAUGUACUCGCGGUGCUUUGGCUAGUAGGUGGGGUAACGGCCUACCAAGGCUGCGAUGCAUACCCGACCGGAGAGGGGGAGCAGCCACCCUGGGACGGAGACACGGCCCAGAGGCCUACAGGAGGCAGCAGUACGGAAUCGUCAGCAAUGGGCGCAAGUCUGACCGAGCAACGCCGCGUGAUGGAAGAGGGUUUUCGGAUCGGAGAACUCGGUUGUUAGAGAAGAACAAGGAUGAGAGUGGAAAGUUCAGCCCGUGACGGUAUCUAACCAGAAAGCCACGGCUAACUACGUG